rnacentral:rRNA from 1 species
CAGCAGCCGCGGUAAUACAGAGGGUGCGAGCGUUAAUCGGAUUUACUGGGCGUAAAGCGUGCGUAGGCGGCUUCUUAAGUCGGAUGUGAAAUCCCUGAGCUUAACUUAGGAAUUGCAUUCGAUACUGGGAAGCUAGAGUAUGGGAGAGGAUGGUAGAAUUCCAGGUGUAGCGGUGAAAUGCGUAGAGAUCUGGAGGAAUACCGAUGGCGAAGGCAGCCAUCUGGCCUAAUACUGACGCUGAGGUACGAAAGCAUGGGGAGCAAACAGGAUUAGAUACCCGUGUAGUCCAUGUCUCUUAUAC